AUAGGUCAAGUUAUUAAGAGCAUAGGGCGAAUGCCUUGGCACCAAGAGCCGAUGAAGGACGGGAUAAGCACCGAUAUGCUUCGGGGAGUCGCAAAUAGACAUUGAUCCGGAGAUUUCCGAAUGGGGAAACCUACUUGAGCAACCCUCAAGUAUCGCAUACUGAAUUCAUAGGUAUGCGAAGGAAGACCAGGGGAACUGAAACAUCUAAGUACCCUGAGGAAGAGAAAGAAAGUUCGAUUUCCUAAGUAGCGGCGAGCGAAAGGGAAAGAGCCCAAACCGGAUUUAUCCGGGGUUGAGGACACAGUAAAGGAUUGGCAAAUUCAUAGUCGAAGAUAGCUGGGAAGCUAUGCAACAUAAGGUGAUAGCCCUGUAGACGAAAUGAAUGAGCCACAGGCUGUGCUCCAGAGUACCACGAGACACGUGAAAUCUUGUGGGAAGCAGGGAGGACCACCUCCCAAGGCUAAAUACUACUUGGUGACCGAUAG
rnacentral:rRNA from 1 species